rnacentral:rRNA from 1 species
CGCGUUGGUGACCUGCUCGAAGUUGGGAUAACAGUUCGAAAGGACUGCUAAUACCGGAUGUGAUCGCGGAGAUUAGAGGCUCUGUGAUUAAAGGAGAAAUUCGCUUCGAGAGGGGCCUGCGUCCCAUCAGCUAGUUGGUAAGGUAAAGGCUUACCAAGGCGAUGACGGGUAGGGACCUGAGAGGUGGCCCCCCACAAUGGAACUGAAACACGGUCCAUACACCUACGGGUGGCAGCAGUAGGGAAUAUUGCAUAAUGGGCGAAAGCCUGAUGCAGCAACGCCGCGUGUGCGAUGAAGGCCUUCGGGUCGUAAAGCACUUUUGGAGGGGAUGAGGAAGGACAGUACCCUUCGAAUAAGCUUCGGCUAACUACGUG